CCUGUAAAGUGAGGAUGAGAAUAAUACGAACAGCACUGGACCUAUUGUAGAAGCGAAAUAACUUAAUACAUGCAACAGGCUUGGAACAGUGUCAACACAUGGUAAGAGCUGUGAAGCAGUCACCAUCGUCAUCAUUGUGGUUGUCCUUCAUCUCAGAACAACAGCCUGCAACAGCUGUCAGCAGCCCAGGGAUCAGCACUUACCUCGGCACUCAUAGGAGCCCUCUGUGUUCACACAGAACUGGUUGGAUCCACAGCUGGCUCGUUCCGUGCCACACUCAUCGAUGUCUGCAGGGAAGCAGGCAGGAUACGGAUUUCAAUCCCUAUCGCACUAACAGGGAAGCUGAGGCCAAGGUUGUUGGGGAAGGGACCUGCUCAGACUCAAAUAGCUUGGCAGAGACUGCCGGCUGUGUGCCAACACGAAGGCAGAGGUGCAGUAGGACUUCGGGCCGCCCAACUAAAGAUGACAUUUUCCAAUCUGCCUUGCAGCUAAGUGUGGCCUAAUGAUUGAGUUCUGGCCAAGAGGAUGUAAACAGAAAUGAUGUGCUCCACUUUUAGCUUGGCCUUAAAACAACAGAAGUGGACUCUUCCAUGCAUUUUCUUCCCUUUCUCACUUCCUGAGUGUUGGUCAUAGAACAUGGAGGUACCUCAAGCAACAAAAACAUCCCAAGGGGAUGACCACACUGUAAGACAGAAAGUAUCUGGGUCCUUGAAUGCUUGUAACAGGUGGAACUUCCUUGCCAGCCUGGACCACUUGUUUUAAGACUGUGGUAUAAGAUAAAAAUAAACCUCUAUAUUCUUUAA